UACGAAGGGGGCUAGCGUUGCUCGGAAUCACUGGGCGUAAAGCGCACGUAGGCGGAUUGUUAAGUCAGGGGUGAAAUCCUGGAGCUCAACUCCAGAACUGCCUUUGAUACUGGCGAUCUUGAGUCCGGGAGAGGUGAGUGGAACUGCGAGUGUAGAGGUGAAAUUCGUAGAUAUUCGCAAGAACACCAGUGGCGAAGGCGGCUCACUGGCCCGGUACUGACGCUGAGGAGCGAAAGCGUGGGUAGCAAACAGG
rnacentral:rRNA from 1 species